rnacentral:rRNA from 1 species
AGCUCCAAUAGCGUAUAUUAAAGUUGCUGCGGUUAAAAAGCUCGUAGUUGGAUCUCAGUCUCGGUCGGUUGGUCCAUUUCACGAUGGCACUGAUCGAACCGGACAUUUGGCCGCGUUUCUCAGUGUGCUCUUCGCUGAGUGUGCUGGGGGAGUGGCACGUUUACUUUGAAAAAAUUAGAGUGCUCAAAGCAGGCACACGCCUGAAUCUUCGUGCAUGGAAUGAUGGAAUAGGGCCUCGGUUCUAUUUUGUUGGUUUCCGGAACUCGAGGUAAUGAUUAAGAGGGACGGACGGGGGCAUUCGUAUUGCGACGUUAGAGGUGAAAUUCUUAGAUCGUCGCAAGACGGACUACUGCGAAAGCAUUUGCCAAGAAUGUUUUCA